rnacentral:lncRNA from 1 species
AUCCCUGGUAGGGGCCCAAUCGCAAUACCAUUAAAACGCAAUUGUCCUAAAUUAAAAUGGGAAAUCCAAAGCUGCAGUAGCCAAAUAGGCCUGUCUAGCAGACAACAAUCUGAAUUGGAUGCCUCCCUGAAGAUAAGCCAUUUUACUGCAGAACAUGAUGAUGUCUUUAUCGGCGUGACGAUAAACAAUAGGCUUUUCACAGCCAGGGGACGCAGACUAAUUCAAGUCUUGAAGAAACAUCAGGAAGAUGUGCAGUGCUGCAAAUCCCACAGGGACCAGAGGGAUGGGCCUUUAAAGGGGCUCUGCAAGUGAACAUGAAAACAAGGAUAUGGCCCAGGCAAAACAAAGAUCUCCUGGUCCAGCCUGAUAUCUCCCUGACUCAAUGGGAGGGGUCUCCAGGGGCCACCUGGAGCCUGAGGUGUUCAGGGGCCACAGCUUCACCCUCACUUAUUCCACUCAGCCACAGUACCCAGGAGGCUCUUUCCACUUCACGUUCACCAGCUCCAACAGAACCCAGACAGCUGUAAAUCACUCUGCUGCCUUCCUCUUCCCUGCUGUAGAUGACUCCCACCAAAGGAAUUACAGCUGUGUUUAUGAGAAUUAUGUUUUCUCUCAUAACUUCUACUCUGAGAGUGAGUUCCUCUCCCUCACAGCCUCUCCUCUGCCCACCUUCAUCAUCAGACAUGUUGUAGUGCUGCUGAUCCUACUGACAGCCAUCACUGCCUUCUACCUGUACUUCAAGAAGGCAGAAGAGUGAGUGACUCACAGCAAGGUCUGACCAACACAGGAGGGAAAAACAGAAUACACAAAUACCAAAUCACAUUGGAACCCAAAUAAGAGAGGGGAAAAAAAUAUGUAAAGAAGGGAGAAUUUGUUUUUUUAAAGAAGAAAAAAAAAGAAAACCCGAAAACAUUUGCCACUCAUACUGCACUCCUGGUAACCUUUUGACCUCUUGUCACCGUGGGCAACAGGCUUCAUCUGAUCUUUUAAGGAGCUCUUCUGAUUGGCUGAGACAGAGCCCAAGCAAAGAGAAAGCAUGAAGUAUGGACCAAUUCCAUAUCGAGAUGAGUCACAAGAUGGCGGGUACGCCCGAAUGGUUGUUGGACUUAGAGAUGGAGUCAGGGGAACCCAUAGAGUAUGGUAAGAAGGUGGGAGGAAAAAAGGAAGAAAGUGGAACAUAAUAAGAGUAAAUAGAGUGCUGCAGAAGGAAAUUGAACAUAACGAGAGAGAGGAUGAAUUAACUGCGGUGGCAGGUGCGGUGAAUAACGCUGAGUUUGAGCCUCAUUCAGAUGGUGAUAAAUAUGUUUUUUUCCCCAGUGGGAGUGAGAUUUUUGGAGAGAACGGGUCUCUGCCUUCUGGCUGAUCUAUAUGUGGUGUCAGGUUGGUUGGGGAAUGUUGGGUCGGUGAAAGUGACUCGAAGUGGAAUCGUGUCGAUUUUUUGCGUUUCUGCCAUCCAGAGGGAGUAUGUACUCCGCACCACACCACUGGGGAACUGUGACUUGCUUUCCUCUCCGGAGCAGGGCACCAUUGAAAACACUGAUAACUGGAGUGGCGUUAAAGGGGUAUAUCACCCUGGGGGAAUCUGGCCUUUUUUCAUCAUAUCUGAGGCAUUUCUAGGUCAGUGAAAAGUGUUUCACACAUAAUUGCCCAGGAGGAAGCCAGGUCUGGGCUUUGCGCACUGAAUGAUACACCAUAUGCGGCUUCUGGUGUAUUGAUGGGAGGCUUUUUUGAAAGGGAGGGGGACACUAACAACACAAUCCAUUGGGAAAAACUGAAAGAACGGACCAGACCACAAUGGCUUCAAGUGAUACCUCUCAUCAACACAAAUUCGAAGAUGACAUUCAACCAUACAUGUUUCAACCUGAAUAUAGCAAAGAAGAUUCGAAACAAAGAAUUGGAUUUAGAUAGAAGCUCAGCUAAAGCUGAUGCCAGUACCUAGAGGGCAGAUGACAAAUAAGGUGGCUAGCUAAGUACGUUAUUUUUCCUGGAAGCCACCUAGAUAGCUAGCUAACUUUAGUUUAUUUACUGAAACCUAUAUUGUGUAUUGCUGGCUAACAUACUACUGUGUUACAGUGGGGAUAAAUCUAAUUCUAAGUAGCUAGCUAGCUAGUCUGGCUAAGUUAGCUAAACAACUACAGGUAGCCAUAUCUAGGCCAAAAAAGAGGGGUUUUACAAUCAGAGAUAUAUUGUAUCUUGAUUGUAAAACCUCUUCUGUUUUUAAUUGUAGAUAUGGCUAUUAAACAGCAAGCUAUAAUGUUACAACCAGC